rnacentral:pre_miRNA from 1 species
AUGGAGCUCUCGCCCUUGAUUGUCCAAACGCAAUUCUUGUUCCAAUAGAAAUAUCAAGCCAAGAAUUGUGCCUGGACAUCUGUGGCUGGUGAUCC